CAGCAGCAGCAGCCAUGAGACCCGCCCAUCUAGACACGAUGUGAUUGGCCUGACUAGAGUUUGGAUUUUUCAGCUCGCAAGCCAACAGACAGUUGCUAGACUGACUCUGGCUGCAAAUUACAUUUGCUGCUGCUAGGGUGCGUCUAGAUUUCUUGGCUACACCCAC